rnacentral:lncRNA from 1 species
UCGGCUACCAACUGAAAAAAUAAGCAAAAAUCCUAGCAAUGAUUUCUCCUUCUCCAACUAUUAACUAUGUCUCAAAAUUGGUAUGUAGCUUGAUCUUUAAAUCUUCCAACACCAUGCUAAUUUUUACCUUAAUCCAAUUGAUAGAUCUUCAAAUAUCAUAGAAAUACUAUCCAACCUCAAACUGCCACCUUCUGAAACCUUCUUGUGCUAAAAACUUGAUAAAUCUAAACCCCAUAGUUAGAUUAUCACAAAAUUUUUUAUACACUUAGCACACUCAAUAAUCCAAAUAGUUUUAAAUUUUCAACUGUAGAUAUCACACAAUUUGUACGAACUAGCCAAAAUUGCUA